AGCGAACGCUGGCGGCAGGCUUAACACAUGCAAGUCGAGCGGACCUUUCGGGGUCAGCGGCGGACGGGUGAGUAACGCGUGGGAACGUGCCUUCUGGUUCGGAAUAACCCUGGGAAACUAGGGCUAAUACCGGAUACGCCCUUAUGGGGAAAGGUUUACUGCCGGAAGAUCGGCCCGCGUCUGAUUAGCUAGUUGGUGGGGUAACGGCCUACCAAGGCGACGAUCAGUAGCUGGUCUGAGAGGAUGAUCAGCCACACUGGGACUGAGACACUGCCCAGACUCCUACGGGAGGCAGCAGUGGGGAAUAUUGGACAAUGGGCGCAAGCCUGAUCCAGCCAUGCCGCGUGAGUGAUGAAGGCCCUAGGGUUGUAAAGCUCUUUUAUCCGGGACGAUAAUGACGGUACCGGAGGAAUAAGCCCCGGCUAACUUCGCGCCAGCCGCCGCCGUAA
rnacentral:rRNA from 1 species